UACGUAGGGCGCAAGCGUUAUCCGGAAUUAUUGGGCGUAAAGAGCUCGUAGGCGGUUUGUCGCGUCUGCCGUGAAAGUCCGGGGCUCAACUCCGGAUCUGCGGUGGGUACGGGCAGACUAGAGUGAUGUAGGGGAGACUGGAAUUCCUGGUGUAGCGGUGAAAUGCGCAGAUAUCAGGAGGAACACCGAUGGCGAAGGCAGCCCUCUGGGCAUUAACUGACGCUGAGGAGCGAAAGCAUGGGGAGCGAACAGG
rnacentral:rRNA from 1 species